CAGAGAUGGAUUUGUGCCUUCGGGAACCGUGAGACAGGUGCUGCAUGGCUGUCGUCAGCUCGUGUUGUGAAAUGUUGGGUUAAGUCCCGCAACGAGCGCAACCCUUAUCCUUUGUUGCCAGCGGUUAGGCCGGGAACUCAAAGGAGACUGCCAGUGAUAAACUGGAGGAAGGUGGGGAUGACGUCAAGUCAUCAUGGCCCUUACGACCAGGGCUACACACGUGCUACAAUGGCGCAUACAAAGAGAAGCGACCUCGCGAGAGCAAGCGGACCUCAUAAAGUGCGUCGUAGUCCGGAUUGGAGUCUGCAACUCGACUCCAUGAAGUCGGAAUCGCUAGUAAUCGUGGAUCAGAAUGCCACGGUGAAUACGUUCCCGGGCCUUGUACACACCGCCCGUCACACCAUGGGAGUGGGUUGCAAAAGAAGUAGGUAGCUUAACCUUCGGGAGGGCGCUUACCACUUUGUGAUUCAUGACUGGGGUGAAGUCGUAACAAGGUAACCGUAGGGGAACCUGC
rnacentral:rRNA from 1 species